GGAUGCGAUCAUACCAGCACUAAAGCACCGGAUCCCAUCAGAACUCCGAAGUUAAGCGUGCUUGGGCGAGAGUACUACUAGGAUGGGUGACCUCCUGGGAAGUCCUCGUGUUGCCCUUU
rnacentral:rRNA from 1 species